UGGGGAAUAUUGCACAAUGGGCGCAAGCCUGAUGCAGCCAUGCCGCGUGUGUGAAGAAGGUUUUCGGAUCGUAAAACUCUGUUGUUAGAGAAGAACAAGGACGUUAGUAACUGAACGUCCCCUGACGGUAUCUAACCAGAAAGCUACGGCUAACUACGUGCCAGCAGCCGCGGUAAUACGUAGGUGGCAAGCGUUGUCCGGAUUUAUUGGGCGUAAAGCGAGCGCAGGCGGUUUCUUAAGUCUGAUGUGAAAGCCCCCGGCUCAACCGGGGAGGGUCAUUGGAAACUGGGAGACUUGAGUGCAGAAGAGGAGAGUGGAAUUCCAUGUGUAGCGGUGAAAUGCGUAGAUAUAUGGAGGAACACCAGUGGCGAAGGCGGCUCUCUGGUCUGUAACUGACGCUGAGGCUGGAAAGCGUGGGGAGCAAACAGG
rnacentral:rRNA from 1 species